rnacentral:lncRNA from 1 species
CAAAUUUUAUUCUGUAAACUACUUUAAAUAAUGUCUUGUAUGCUUCUUUAUAUCAAUAUUGUGUUAUAUGGAAAAAAUGAUCCACAAACUACAAAAAGAAAAUGAGAAAAACAAUGCAGAGGAGAACAUACUUUGAUGGAGCAAAUGGAGUAUAGAGAAUACAUAGCUCCACAAACGCACAAAGAGCUAGAAUGCCUCCCC